GGGUUGUGAGGUUAAGCGACUAAGCGUACACGGUGGAUGCCCUGGCAGUCAGAGGCGAUGAAGGACGUGCUAAUCUGCGAAAAGCGUCGGUAAGGUGAUAUGAACCGUUACAGCCGGCGAUGUCCGAAUGGGGAAACCCAGUGCAAUUCGUUGCACUAUCGUUAACUGAAUACAUAGGUUAACGAGGCGAACCGGGGGAACUGAAACAUCUAAGUACCCCGAGGAAAAGAAAUCAACCGAGAUUCCCCCAGUAGCGGCGAGCGAACGGGGAGCAGCCCAGAGUCUGAAUCAGCUUGUGUGUUAGUGGAACGGUCUGGAAAGUCCGACGGUACAGGGUGAUAGUCCCGUACACCAAAAUGCACAGGCUGUGAACUCGAAGAGUAGGGCGGGACACGUGGUAUCCUGUCUGAAUAUGGGGGGACCAUCCUCCAAGGCUAAAUACUCCUGACUGACCGAUAGUGAACCAGUACCGUGAGGGAAAGGCGAAAAGAACCCCGGCGAGGGGAGUGAAAAAGAACCUGAAACCGUGUACGUACAAGCAGUGGGAGCACCUUCGGGUGUGACUGCGUACCUUUUGUAUAAUGGGUCAGCGACUUAUAUUCUGUAGCAAGGUUAACCGUAUAGGGGAGCCGCAGGGAAACCGAGUCUUAACUGGGCGUUAAGUUGCAGGGUAUAGACCCGAAACCCGGUGAUCUAGCCAUGGGCAGGUUGAAGGUUGGGUAACACUAACUGGAGGACCGAACCGACUAAUGUUGAAAAAUUAGCGGAUGACUUGUGGCUGGGGGUGAAAGGCCAAUCAAACCGGGAGAUAGCUGGUUCUCCCCGAAAGCUAUUUAGGUAGCGCCUCGUGAAUUCAUCUUCGGGGGUAGAGCACUGUUUCGGCUAGGGGGUCAUCCCGACUUACCAACCCGAUGCAAACUACGAAUACCGAAGAAUGUUAUCACGGGAGACACACGGCGGGUGCUAACGUCCGUCGUGAAGAGGGAAACAACCCAGACCGCCAGCUAAGGUCCCAAAGUCAUGGUUAAGUGGGAAACGAUGUGGGAAGGCACAGACAGCCAGGAUGUUGGCUUAGAAGCAGCCAUCAUUUAAAGAAAGCGUAAUAGCUCACUGGUCGAGUCGGCCUGCGCGGAAGAUGUAACGGGGCUAAACCAUGCACCGAAGCUGCGGCAGCGACACUAUGUGUUGUUGGGUAGGGGAGCGUUCUGUAAGCCUGCGAAGGUGUGCUGUGAGGCAUGCUGGAGGUAUCAGAAGUGCGAAUGCUGACAUAAGUAACGAUAAAGCGGGUGAAAAGCCCGCUCGCCGGAAGACCAAGGGUUCCUGUCCAACGUUAAUCGGGGCAGGGUGAGUCGACCCCUAAGGCGAGGCCGAAAGGCGUAGUCGAUGGGAAACAGGUUAAUAUUCCUGUACUUGGUGUUACUGCGAAGGGGGGACGGAGAAGGCUAUGUUAGCCGGGCGACGGUUGUCCCGGUUUAAGCAUGUAGGCUGGUUAUCCAGGCAAAUCCGGAUAAUCAAGGCUGAGGUGUGAUGACGAGGCACUACGGUGCUGAAGUAACAAAUGCCCUGCUUCCAGGAAAAGCCUCUAAGCAUCAGGUAACAUCAAAUCGUACCCCAAACCGACACAGGUGGUCAGGUAGAGAAUACCAAGGCGCUUGAGAGAACUCGGGUGAAGGAACUAGGCAAAAUGGUGCCGUAACUUCGGGAGAAGGCACGCUGGUGUGUAGGUGAAGUCCCUGCGGAUGGAGCUGAGACCAGUCGAAGAUACCAGCUGGCUGCAACUGUUUAUUAAAAACACAGCACUGUGCAAACACGAAAGUGGACGUAUACGGUGUGACGCCUGCCCGGUGCCGGAAGGUUAAUUGAUGGGGUUAUCCGUAAGGAGAAGCUCUUGAUCGAAGCCCCGGUAAACGGCGGCCGUAACUAUAACGGUCCUAAGGUAGCGAAAUUCCUUGUCGGGUAAGUUCCGACCUGCACGAAUGGCGUAAUGAUGGCCAGGCUGUCUCCACCCGAGACUCAGUGAAAUUGAACUCGCUGUGAAGAUGCAGUGUACCCGCGGCAAGACGGAAAGACCCCGUGAACCUUUACUAUAGCUUGACACUGAACAUUGAGCCUUGAUGUGUAGGAUAGGUGGGAGGCUUUGAAGCGUGGACGCCAGUCUGCGUGGAGCCAACCUUGAAAUACCACCCUUUAAUGUUUGAUGUUCUAACGUUGGCCCCUUACCGGGGUUGCGGACAGUGUCUGGUGGGUAGUUUGACUGGGGCGGUCUCCUCCCAAAGCGUAACGGAGGAGCACGAAGGUUAGCUAAUCCUGGUCGGACAUCAGGAGGUUAGUGCAAUGGCAUAAGCUAGCUUGACUGCGAGCGUGACGGCGCGAGCAGGUGCGAAAGCAGGUCAUAGUGAUCCGGUGGUUCUGAAUGGAAGGGCCAUCGCUCAACGGAUAAAAGGUACUCCGGGGAUAACAGGCUGAUACCGCCCAAGAGUUCAUAUCGACGGCGGUGUUUGGCACCUCGAUGUCGGCUCAUCACAUCCUGGGGCUGAAGUAGGUCCCAAGGGUAUGGCUGUUCGCCAUUUAAAGUGGUACGCGAGCUGGGUUUAGAACGUCGUGAGACAGUUCGGUCCCUAUCUGCCGUGGGCGCUGGAGAAUUGAGGGGGGCUGCUCCUAGUACGAGAGGACCGGAGUGGACGCAUCACUGGUGUUCGGGUUGUCAUGCCAAUGGCACUGCCCGGUAGCUAAAUGCGGAAGAGAUAAGUGCUGAAAGCAUCUAAGCACGAAACUUGCCCCGAGAUGAGUUCUCCCUGAGACUUUAAGUCUCCUGAAGGAACGUUAAAGACGAUGACGUUGAUAGGCCGGGUGUGUAAGCGCAGCGAUGCGUUGAGCUAACCGGUACUAAUGAACCGUGAGGCUUAACCUUACAACGCCGAAG
rnacentral:rRNA from 1 species